rnacentral:lncRNA from 1 species
UCGUUCUUCAUGUUUGUUAGAUAUGCGUUAUAAUGUUUUAAAUACUUUUUCCUAUAUAGACACAAAACUAAAACGCGUCAAAUGGAAAUGUCUAGGUCUCCAAACUCCGAGUUAGCUAGCAUCUUCAUUUUCUUAUCUUAUAUAAACAGGUCUUGUAAUGACGAAACUUUGAUAGAGUGGAAAACACUUAGCUUUGAUGGCUACAAAGACGUCAAGUUUCGCUUCUCUUCUUCUGUCUUUUUUUAUCAUGCUCUUANNN